GAUAGACUUUGGGAGACUGCAUGUUAUAUACUCUCCUCUCUGGAUUCAUGACAACUUGAGGUCCUUUUAGUGAUUUUAAUGGAUUUUUUUUUUUUUUUAAGAAUUAUUUUUCUCCAGAGAAAAAAAUAAAAUGCUGCUGAUAUUGAAUACCUGAUAUUAUUUAUGUGAAUCUGUCAACUAAUCAUUUGGCUCCUGGGGACAGAGAACACAGCACAUUGUAACAACAGCAAUAGACUCAGCCAUGAGAGAUCUUUAUCAGGCAUCACAAAGAAUUUGAGGCAGCUGGCAGUUAUCAGCUGAAACAGGUAGUCAGUAGAAGUAUAGAAGAUAAAUAGAUAAUAGAAAAGCAAUCUGGAAACCUGGGAGAGAUAAUAAACCACUCUUCUAAAGGGGAGGUAACAACUUAGCUCUCUGAGGUGGAGGCAUCCCUGUAGGAGAUAUAAACAAAGGAAAGUCUUAGAGUCUCUUUCUGUUCACAUUCCCUAAUGUGCAUAAAAAGGGACAUCCUUCAUUAGCUUGUUGCGAUCAAAAGUGAAUUCAGUGCUCCGAAGGUCAAGAGAUGAAGAUGGCUGUUCUGCACAGCUCUCCUCUGGGAUAGUAACAUUUUACCAAAGUGGGUAAAACCUAACAAUAAAUAUUGUGUUAUGAUGAGUGUUUUUGCUUGGUUCAGAAAUAAAACUCCUCAACAUAUCUUGUAUUUUAUUCUUUACCGAUUAGGUCAAAAAUAUAGUUGUGCAAUUUACUGUCUCCAGGUACUUCCUGUCAUUCCUCUAUAGAGCUACAGUAGAC
ensembl:lncRNA